rnacentral:rRNA from 1 species
GACGAACGCUGGCGGCGCGCUUAACACAUGCAAGUCGAACGGAAAGGCCUGCUUUCCCUUGUGGAUUGCGGGUACUCGAGUGGCGAACGGGUGAGUAACACGUGAGUGAUCUGCCCCCAACUUGGGUAUAAGCCUGGGAAACUGGGUCUAAUUCCCGAUAGGACUGCAGGGUGGUGCCUGUGGUGGAAAACGAUUUUCUAGUGGUUGGGGAUGAGCUCGCGGCCUAUCAGCUUGUUGGUGGGGUAAUGGCCUACCAAGGCGGCGACGGGUAGCCGGCCUGAGAGGGUGGACGGCCACAUUGGGACUGAGAUACGGCCCAGACUCCUACGGGAGGCAGCAGUGGGGAAUAGUGCACAAUGGGCGGAAGCCUGAUGCAGCGACGCCGCGUGGGGGAUGACGGCCUUCGGGUUGUAAACUCCUUUCGACCGCGAGGAAGCCACCUGGUUGGAAGGGUGGUGACGGUAGUGGUAGAAGAAGCACCGGCUAACUACGU